ensembl:lncRNA
GGACUUAAUUUUGCCCUGUAAGGAAAAGCUAAUUGGUGGUGUGAAGGGGAUACAGACAGCAGGAGAAAGCACCUUUGUCAUCCUCAACUUGGACUUGGCACAUGAGAAAUAAGUAAAUGAGUGAAUGGACUGAUAUUCUUGGAAUCCAGGAUUUUUGCUGUGAAUCCAGAUAUGGAAUAGGCAAGAAAAAAACCUCAUGGGGUGGAUUGGAGUUUGGAACUGAAGCUCUACAUUUUGAACAGCUAGAAGCAAUUGUACUACAAUAAUAAUGAACACACCUAGCACCCAAAUUUUGCCUUCUAAAUACCAUGCCACACUAAGAGGAGCCCCGGUUUCCUUGGAGAAGUAACUGAUUUCAAGACUAUGCUAGAGAAGGAGAUGCAUAUUUACUGUUGAAGAGUAAAGGGAUGUGAUGUAUUAUGAUGUGUGCAGCCCAAACUUCAAUAUAUAUUUGGAGAAAGCAAGAGAUGGAUAAUACAACUGUGGCAAAAUAUGAACAACUGGUGAAUCUGGAUAAAGAACAUUUUGGAGUUCACUUGCGAACUUUGUGCGAGUUUGAAAUUGUUUCAAAGCGACGGAAGCAAAGAAGAAAAAGGAGAAGGAGAAAUAGAGGAGAGCAAAGAUAGAACGAAGUGGAGAGAAUAUUCGUUUAGGAAGAAAUUGCCAAGAGUGAGAUUACAUGGUCAACGCCUAUGAAUAUUUUUACGGCUCUGAGAUGUGUUGCCAAAUUGCUUGCUAAAAGGGUUGUGCCUAAUGCAAGCCGGCUUUUAAAGACUAAGAAGAUCAUCCAUAAAUUGUGCCAAAGUCUAUCAUUUUGUGAAUGUGCCAGGCAAUCAAAAACCUGAGUUCUGUUCAUCUUGGUCAUAAUUAUAAAGGAGAUCCCUUCUUCU